CCUACGGGAGGCAGCAGUGGGGAAUAUUGCACAAUGGGGGCAACCCUGAUGCAGCGACGCCGCGUGAGUGAAGAAGGACUUCGUUAUGUACAGCUCUAUCAGCAGGGAAGAAAAUGACGGUACCUGAGGAAGAAGCCCCGGGUAACUACGUGCCAGCAGCCGAGGUAAUACGUAGGGGGCAAGCGUUAUCCGGAUUUACUGGGUGUAAAGGGAGCGGAGACGGCGAUGCAAGUCUGGCGUGAAAGGCGGGGGCACAACCCCCGGACUGCUCUUGAAACUGUACGGCUGGAGUGCAGGAGGGGUAAGUGGAAUUCCUAGUGUAGCGGUGAAAUGCGUAGAUAUUAGGAGGAACACCAGUGGCGAAGGCGGCUUACUGGACUGUAACUGACGUUGAGGCUCGAAAGCGUGGGGAGCAAACAGGAUUAGAUACCCCGGUAGUC
rnacentral:rRNA from 1 species